AGCCCUGGAUCAGAAACAACAAAAUCUGCGGCCUAAACAACACAGGAGUUCUGUUCCAGAGAUGUCACCGCAGUGAAAACCGUGACAGAACAACAAACCCUAGUGCUAGCCUCAGUGUAUAUGCCAAGUGAGGAUGCAGUUCCCUCACAAGAACUCACCGCACUGGUACAACACUGUAGAGAGCAGGCCUGGGGCUUGAUCAUCUCCGCAGACUGCAACGCACACCACCCGCUGUGGGGAAGUACGGAUACAAACAAAAGGG